rnacentral:rRNA from 1 species
UACGGAGGGUGCAAGCGUUAUCCGGAUUCACUGGGUUUAAAGGGUGCGUAGGUGGGUCUGUAAGUCCGUGGUGAAGUCUCCGAGCUUAACUUGGAAACUGCCAUGGAUACUAUAGGUCUUGAAUACUGUGGAGGUCAGCGGAAUAUGUCAUGUAGCGGUGAAAUGCUUAGAUAUGACAUAGAACACCAAUUGCGAAGGCAGCUGGCUACACAAAUAUUGACACUGAUGCACGAAAGCGUGGGGAUCAAACAGG